rnacentral:rRNA from 1 species
GACGAACGCUGGCGGCGUGCUUAACACAUGCAAGCCGAACGGAAAGGCCCUGCUUUUGUGGGGUGCUCGAGUGGCGAACGGGUGAGUAACACGUGAGUAACCUGCCCUUGACUUUGGGAUAACUUCAGGAAACUGGGGCUAAUACCGGAUAGGAGCUCCUGCUGCAUGGUGGGGGUUGGAAAGUUUCGGCGGUUGGGGAUGGACUCGCGGCUUAUCAGCUUGUUGGUGGGGUAGUGGCUUACCAAGGCUUUGACGGGUAGCCGGCCUGAGAGGGUGGCCGGCCACAUUUGGACUGAGAUACGGCCCAGACUCCUACGGGAGGCAGCAGUGGGGAAUAUUGCACAAUGGGCGGAAGCCUGAUGCAGCAACGCCGCGUGCGGGAUGACGGCCUUCGGGUUGUAAACCGCUUUCGCCUGUGACGAAGCGUGAGUGACGGUAAUGGGUAAAGAAGCACCGGCUAACUACGUG